GACGAACGCUGGCGGCGUGCCUAAUACAUGCAAGUCGAACGAACUCUGGUAUCGAUUGGUGCUUGCAUCAUGAUUUACAUUUGAGUGAGUGGCGAACUGGUGAGUAACACGUGGGAAACCUGCCCAGAAGCGGGGGAUAACACCUGGAAACAGAUGCUAAUACCGCAUAACAACUUGGACCGCCUGGUCCGAGUUUGAAAGAUGGCUUCGGCUAUCACUUUUGGAUGGUCCCGCGGCGUAUUAGCUAGAUGGUGAGGUAACGGCUCACCAUGGCAAUGAUACGUAGCCGACCUGAGAGGGUAAUCGGCCACAUUGGGACUGAGACACGGCCCAAACUCCUACGGGAGGCAGCAGUAGGGAAUCUUCCACAAUGGACGAAAGUCUGAUGGAGCAACGCCGCGUGAGUGAAGAAGGGUUUCGGCUCGUAAAACUCUGUUGUUAAAGAAGAACAUAUCUGAGAGUAACUGUUCAGGUAUUGACGGUAUUUAACCAGAAAGCCACGGCUAACUACGUGCCAGCAGCCGCCGUAA
rnacentral:rRNA from 1 species